CAGAUCCAGAUCAUAGGCGUGAAGGCCAACAGUUACCAGAAGCUGACUGUGUGAUAGAUGGACCAAACACGUUCGAAGACGACCCGCAGGACACGUUCGAGCAAGAGGGUGAUGAAGAAGACUUUGCAGAUGAUGUCGAUGAGAACUAAGUCUAACGAUGCACCAGUCACCUUCCUAUGGAAGAGUGUCCAUGUUUAAUUCUAUUGUACUUUGAUGAUGAUACUUUUUAAGACACUAUUGUCUAAAUGAUGUAAUAAAGUUACUCUACUCUCUUUACGCCUUUAUUGCAUUGUCUUUUGAUAUAUUACACUUGUGACGUCAACAUAUGUGUGAAAAAUGGAUAUUGGCACACAUAUCCUAUGCAUUCGGUUUGCCCCCAAAACC
rnacentral:lncRNA from 1 species